rnacentral:lncRNA from 1 species
CCGCGCUCCGGCGCUGCAUGGACCCUGUGGUGACCGCGGCGUUCUGUGCACCACGUGUGAGCUAUGCUUCCAGAGUGCUCUGUGCAUUUCCAAGAUCAACAGUGAAUAAAUCUCUGGUGAGUUACUUGUUUAUAUAUGUCUCACUUUGUUUUACAUUGCAUUUUUUGCCUUUAUGGAGUCCAUGGAUUAAAAUGGAAAAAUAAAAAUAAGUAAAAUUCAGGUUAAAGGAAAUGCACAUAAAUAAAAUAAUGCUGGUGGGCCGGGUGCGGUGGCUCAUGCCUGUAAUCCCAGCACUUUGGGAGGCUGAAGUGGGUGGAUCAUGAGGU